AUGUCUGAUCAGAGUGACAGCCAGAACAGGUCAGAAGAGCACAUGGACUUGAGUGAGGGCACUAGUCCCUUAACUUCAGAUGAUGGGAGUAGAAGUACUCCUAGCAACUUGCCUAAGGCUGCUACUAGGCAAAUGAGGAAAAGAACUUCAGAUUCUGAGGAUGAAGAUUACAAAGCUGAGGAAGAUGAGGCCACUUCCAAGAAAGUGGUGCUCAAGAAAGAGUAUGGCUCUGCACAGAGCACAAAGCCAGGUCUGAAAAAGAAAGUUCCUGCCAAGAGAACUCCAAUGCCAAAGGCCAGGAAGUCCACUCAAGUGCCAGCUCAGGCUCAACCCAAAGAGGCACCUGCAAGGAAAGAAGCACCAUCAAAACCUCAGAAAGUCCCCAUUGGUGCAACCAUGAAGUUCACAGUUGAAUCAGAGGAUGAUGGUGAUCAGGACAAGAAAAAGAAGAGAGCAAGAACCACAACUGCCAAGGUCCUUGGAAAGCCCUCAAUGAGAAGGGAUUCUGAUGAAGAGGAAGAGGAUGCUGCACCAGCACCUAAGGCAACUAAGCUUAUGGGAGAUGCAAUCAGGUCAGGGGCUGCAACAUCCAAGCCCAAAGAUGCACCCAAAGCUGCCUCCAAGGCCAAGCAAGCUCCAAAGAGGAAUACUAGGAGUAUUCCAGCUGCUGAGAAGAACAAGGCCCCAGUGCCCAAUGUUGCUGAAGAAGAGGAUGAGGAAGGACAAGUCCUUAGAAAGCUCAAGCCCAAGAUACCAGACCACAAUGAUGCCCAUCCUGUGGCUGGGGACAUGAGAAUCAGGAAGGAUUCAGGGCUGAGACUGUGGAGGAUGGAAGACCCAUAUGCUUCAAGAAGAAAAACUGUUGUUAACUACAGGUUCCACUCAAAGGAACAACAGGACUUUUAUGAGACCAUUCUGUUGGACAAGAAGCCCAUAGUCUAUGAUAUGAGGUGGGUUGACUGGAAAUUCAUCAGGGAGAAUGAGCAGCACUACCCUGGAGUGGAGGAGAGCUUUGUUGCUUGUGGAGUAGCAGAUUUUGUUGGACAAAAGUUUACCAACUGGAAUGAUGAGCUUAUCAUGCAGUUCUACUCCACAGCACACUUUUAUCCAGAUGGUAGUGUUGUGUGGAUGUCUGAAGGUACAAGGUACCAAUCCACUGUUGAAGAAUGGGCAAAUCUCAUAAAUGCCCCCAAGGAAGAAGAGGAUGACUUGGACAUUUAUGCAAAGAAGAAGUUGGGUCACAAUUCAAUGGCUCACAUGUACAAGGAAAUCCCUGACAAGGCAGUUGAGACUCACAAGUUUGGAUCAGUUCACUUUCUGCUGUCAGGUCUGGCAACCAUCAAUUGGAUCCUGAGGCACACUUUGUUGCCCAAGUCAGGUGACCAUAACAUGAUCAGAGGGUAUGCCAUCAACAUGCUACAUGUGUUUGAUGUGCCCCAGAAGUACAAAGUCAUGAGCCUCAUAGUUGAAACAAUCAAGAGGACUGCAGCAGAUUAG
rnacentral:rRNA from 1 species